UACGUAGGGUCCGAGCGUUGUCCGGAGUUACUGGGCGUAAAGCGCAUGUAGGCGGCAGCGCAAGUCGGGCGUGAAAUCCCACGGCUCAACCGUGGAAGUGCACUCGAAACUGCGCAGCUAGAGUCCUGGAGAGGAAGGUGGAAUGCUUGGUGUAGAGGUGAAAUUCGUAGAUAUCAAGCGGAACACCGGUGGCGAAGGCGGCCUUCUGGACAGUGACUGACGCUGAGAUGCGAAAGCGUGGGGAGCAAACAGG
rnacentral:rRNA from 1 species